rnacentral:sRNA from 1 species
GGCGGCGGCCUCUCCACUUGGGUUCCACCCAGCCUCUGAUGACCCGGCUUCAUGAUGUCAGCGGCGAGGUGGCGGGAACACCGAGGGCAGGGCUCCAGGCCAGGGCUCCACUGGAACCCUUCAGCCUUCCCUCCCUGCCCCCGUGCUUUCUAUGGGGCUGCUACUGUGCUGGCCCUGGAGAGUCUUUUUGGCUGCUAGUUUUGGGGUGCUCUGCCCCCUUCCUGUCUUCCUUACUGUGGUUGAGGCCUCCCGAGGGGGCUGGCUGUGGUGUCCAGCAGCUCUCCAGAGGUGCUCAGGAGCUCCCUAAGGUGCAUGGAAUUGGGGCUUGGGGUGUGGGAGGGACCAAGGGGUAGGCUGCCAGCAGCUGAAGGUGUUGUAGGUUUUUACUAAAGAACCUUCCACUGUCUAGAGACUUGAGAGAGGGAAAGAGAGAGAGAGACCUAGACGAACACAAUCACAUGUUUUCUUUGCUGUUCCUCCCGGGAUGGGCCUCUUUUGGGGUUUGGGACUCUGAACCCGAGCGGGGUUCCUUCGCUUGACUUUGAUCCUGGUCCUUAAAUGCCUUUCCCCACUCCCCUCCUGUGGGUUCAGGGGCCAAGCGGCCCCUCCUCAGAGCACGGGCAGCACCGUCUCCUGGACCCCUGUGUGCCAGCCUCUGCAGACGCAGCUGGUGGGAGGGAGCAUGGAGUUGGAGGUGGAGAAGUCACUCCUGGUCCUCGGAGGGGGUGGGCUGUGUGCCUAGUUCAGUGUGACUUGGGGAUUGGGGAGGGCGGACAGGUUUUUGAGGCCUCCCUAGCCUUCUUUGUAAAUUCACACGAGAUAGUCCAGGGCUUUCCAGCGCCCAGCUUGGAUGACAAUCCUCGUCUCCCCCACUCUAAGGCCUCCUUCAGAUUUCUUUGGGGUCCACCACGUCCUCUGCCUGUCUCCAGGUGGUACAGGAGAUGUGGUUCCUCUCCCUCUACUGGCUCCCUAGAACCCCCCACUUCCCCUCCCUGUAGCUUUAGCUGACCCCAUGGUGGUGGGUGUGGGGUCUGUGCGCGUGCUCAGGUAAGCUUGGGGGCUCCAGGUAAGCGGUCCCGUGUCCCCCCCCCGGGAAGCCCGCCUCCUCGCCAGGCCCCCAGGAGUUGCCGAGCCCCCCCCAUCCCGCUCGGUUUGGACACCCGCAAGGCCGGCAUCGGUAAAUGGCACCUUUUUCUCUUCCUCUGGUUGUUAUUUGGGGGGGAGCGGGCUGGGGCGGGGCAGGGUAUUACGGUUGGUUGAGGACAGCCCCCUAGGCCAGGGCUGGGUGGGGGAACGGGGACUUUUUGGCCUUCAUGACAGCCCCAUGUUGAUCACAGGCCAGGGCCUCAGGCUUGCCUUCUGCUAUGCGCUGCCCGAGAGCAGCAGUGAGCCUCUCCCCCGUCUCCCCUCUACGACUCCCCUUUCCUGGCAGGCUCAGGCCGGGGUGCGCUCCCAGCGCGUGUUGAGCCGGGGGUGUGGAGGGCGAGAUGGGGCAGAGCUGGGGGGAGGCAGAGUCAGUCAUCUCAGGUAAGGCAGGGAUUUUCAGUAGCACCGCACGGCUCCCCAUGCUUCCUCCACUGCCCCUCUCCCCUGCUGCAGGGGCCCCGCCAGGCCCCCUGGGAGUGUAUAACCCGCCUCUCUGCUCCCUGCCAUUUCCUGAAGAUUUCUCCCACCCCCUUCUGGUUCAUUUUCUGUUCUGAUGUCUGUUCCCCCCACACUCACCCCCCCUCCAAAAAAAAAACAAAAACAGAAAAAACCGGUGUGGUCUGGGGUGCGGAGCGUCCCAGCUGGGCCUCCUGCCCCGGCUUGGUGUCUCAGGGUGCAUGCUUGGGGUUGUGGAGGAGCCCCCUCCCCCACAGCAGAGUCCAGCGUGGAGUUAACCUUCAGUUUCUUUGCAGCGAUUUUGGCCGCCCUGGCAGGAGGGGGCUGUUCCAUCAUGUGGGAGAGGAAGGGCCGGGGAGCCCAGCGGGUGGCGGGUGAGGGUGGACAUCUCCCCCAACCAGGAGUGGUUGGGGCACUGAGAGGAAGCAGACGCUGAGAUGGAGCAGGCCCUUCGCCGGUUUGGGAGAGGGUUGGUCUGGCUGUCAGUUGCCUGGCUGUCUGUUGGGCGUGUGCGUGUGCGUGAUGAUGGGGACACGGGGCGGGGAUUCUGUAGAGCUGGGCCUGUCCUGACUAGAGGACCCUCUGGGGACUCCUCUUCCCUCCCCCUCCCCACAUCUGUUACAGCCGCUUACAAACACGCAGAUGGCAAGAAGAUUGAUGGCAGGAGGGUCCUUGUGGAUGUGGAGAGGGGCCGAACCGUGAAAGGCUGGAGGCCCCGGCGGCUAGGAGGAGGCCUCGGUGGUACCAGAAGAGGAGGAGCUGAUGUGAACAUCCGGCAUUCAGGCCGCGAUGACACCUCCCGCUACGAUGAGAGGCCCGGUCCCUCCCCGCUUCCGCACAGGGACCGGGACCGGGACCGUGAGCGGGAGCGCAGAGAGCGAAGCCGGGAGCGAGACAAGGAGCGAGAACGGCGACGCUCCCGCUCUCGGGACCGGCGGAGGCGCUCACGGAGUCGCGACAAGGAGGAGCGGAGGCGCUCCAGGGAGCGGAGCAAGGACAAGGACCGGGACCGGAAGCGGCGAAGCAGCCGGAGUCGGGAGCGGGCCCGGCGGGAGCGGGAGCGCAAGGAGGAGCUGCGUGGCGGCGGUGGCGACAUGGCAGAGCCCUCCGAGGCGGGUGACGCGCCCCCUGAUGAUGGGCCUCCAGGGGAGCUCGGGCCUGACGGCCCUGACGGUCCAGAGGAAAAGGGCCGGGAUCGUGACCGGGAGCGACGGCGGAGCCACCGGAGUGAGCGCGAGCGGCGCCGGGACCGGGAUCGUGACCGUGACCGUGACCGCGAGCACAAACGGGGGGAGCGGGGCAGUGAGCGGGGCAGGGAUGAGGCCCGAGGUGGGGGCGGUGGCCAGGACAACGGGCUGGAGGGUCUGGGCAACGACAGCCGAGACAUGUACAUGGAGUCUGAGGGCGGCGACGGCUACCUGGCUCCGGAGAAUGGGUAUUUGAUGGAGGCUGCGCCGGAGUGAAGAGGUCCUCUCCAUCUGCUGUGUUUGGACACGUUCCUGCCCAGCCCCUUGCUGUCAUCCCCUCCCCCAACCUUGGCCACCUGAGUUUGUCCUCCAAGGGUAGGUGUCUCAUUUGUUCUGGCCCCUUGGAUUUAAAAAUAAAAUUAAUUUCCUGUU